UAACACGUGGGCAACCUGCCUGUAAGACUGGGAUAACUUCGGGAAACCGAAGCUAAUACCGGAUAGGAUCUUCUCCUUCAUGGGAGAUGAUUGAAAGAUGGUUUCGGCUAUCACUUACAGAUGGGCCCGCGGUGCAUUAGCUAGUUGGUGAGGUAACGGCUCACCAAGGCAACGAUGCAUAGCCGACCUGAGAGGGUGAUCGGCCACACUGGGACUGAGACACGGCCCAGACUCCUACGGGAGGCAGCAGUAGGGAAUCUUCCGCAAUGGACGAAAGUCUGACGGAGCAACGCCGCGUGAGUGAUGAAGGCUUUCGGGUCGUAAAACUCUGUUGUUAGGGAAGAACAAGUACGAGAGUAACUGCUCGUACCUUGACGGUACCUAACCAGAAAGCCACGGCUAACUACGUGCCAGCAGCCGCGGUAAUACGUAGGUGGCAAGCGUUAUCCGGAAUUAUUGGGCGUAAAGCGCGCGCAGGCGGUUUCUUAAGUCUGAUGUGAAAGCCCACGGCUCAACCGUGGAGGGUCAUUGGAAACUGGGGAACUUGAGUGCAGAAGAGAAAAGCGGAAUUCCACGUGUAGCGGUGAAAUGCGUAGAGAUGUGGAGGAACACCAGUGGCGAAGGCGGCUUUUUGGUCUGUAACUGACGCUGAGGCGCGAAAGCGUGGGGAGCAAACAGGAUUAGAUACCC
rnacentral:rRNA from 2 species